AAUAGAGGCUUAGUCUAAUAACCCCACGUCCUGUGGCAACGACUGAAUGACCAACAUCGUGCAGC
rnacentral:sRNA from 1 species